rnacentral:rRNA from 1 species
AACGAACGCUGGCGGCAUGCUUAACACAUGCAAGUCGAACGGAAAGACCCUGCUUUUGUGUGGUGCUCGCGUGGCGAACGGGUGAGUAACACGUGAGUAACCUGCCCUUGACUUUGGGAUAACUUCAGGCAACUGGGGCUAAUACCGGAUAGGAGCUCCUGCUGCAUGGUGGGGGUUGGACAGUUUCGGCGGUUGGGGAUGGACUCGCGGCUUAUCAGCUUGUUGGGUGGGUAGUGGCUUACCAAGGCUUUGACGGGUAGCCGGCCUGAGAGGUUGACCGGCGACAUUGGGACUGAGAGACGGACCAGACUGCUACGGGAGGCAGCAGGGGGGAAUAUUGCACAAUGGGCGGAAGCCUGAGGCAGCAACGCUGCGUGCGGGAUGACGGCCUUCGGGUUGUAAACCGCUUUCGCCUGUGACGAAGCGUGAGUGACGGUAAUGGGUAAAGAAGCACCGGCUAACUACGUG